GUUUUUUUGAUAAUAAUUUAAAGUCUAACCUGCCCUAUGAUGGAUAUUAAAUGGCCGCGAUAAUUUGAUCGUGCAAAGGUAGCAUAAUAAUUAGUUUCUUAAUUAGGAACUGGAAUGAAAGGUUGAACGAAAAAAAUACUGUCUCAAUUUAAUUUAAAUUAGAAUUUUAUUUUUAAGUUAAAAAGCUUAAAUAUAUUUAAAAGACGAGAAGACCCUAUAGAGUUUUAUAUUUAUUAAUUAAUUUUAAUUUUAGUAUUUUAUUUAAGAAUAAUUUAAUAAAUAUUUAGUUGGGGUGACUGAAAAAUUAAAAAAACUUUUUUUUUUAUUUUAACAUUAAUAUAUGAUUUUUUGAUCCAUAAUAUUAUGAUUAAAAGAUUAAAUUACCUUAGGGAUAACAGCGUAAUUUUUUUUGAGAGUUCUUAUCGAAAAAAAAGUUUGCGACCUCGAUGUUGGAUUAAAAUAAACUUUUGGUGUAGAAGCUAAAAUAGUUAGGUCUGUUCGACCUUUAAAAUUUUACA
rnacentral:rRNA from 1 species